CCUACGGGGGCUGCAGUGGGGAAUAUUGGACAAUGGGCGAAAGCCUGAUCCAGCCAUGCCGCGUGUGUGAAGAAGGCCUUCGGGUUGUAAAGCACUUUCAGUGGGGAAGAAAGCCUUGGGGCUAAUACCCUCGAGGAAGGACAUCACCCACAGAAGAAGCACCGGCUAACUCCGUGCCAGCAGCCGCGGUAAUACGGAGGGUGCGAGCGUUAAUCGGAAUUACUGGGCGUAAAGCGCGCGUAGGCGGUCUGAUAAGCCGGUUGUGAAAGCCCCGGGCUCAACCUGGGAACGGCAUCCGGAACUGUCAGGCUAGAGUGCAGGAGAGGAAGGUAGAAUUCCCGGUGUAGCGGUGAAAUGCGUAGAGAUCGGGAGGAAUACCAGUGGCGAAGGCGGCCUUCUGGACUGACACUGACGCUGAGGUGCGAAAGCGUGGGUAGCAAACAGGAUUACAUACCCCAGUAGUC
rnacentral:rRNA from 1 species